AUGUCAUAGUUCUUCUUUUCUUUCUACAUAUCUGUUUUACACCUGUUAAGAAAAUUGUGUUGUUCUUUUUUUCUCCCAAGAAUUGCUGCCAUUACAACUCCUUAAAUGUGUACAUUCAAACUCGACACCAUAAUUUUCUAAUUUGUUGUAAUUACUAGUUGAUAGAAAUCACACGGGAAAAAGGAUGGAAUGAAAAAUUAGGUGGGGAAAAGAGGGAGAAGGAUAAUCUCGUGAUAAUUAAGAUACAUCAAGAAGAGAUUAUCUAUAAUAACAGCCCUACAAUACUCUUAAAAUGCCACUUCAAAUUGUGAGAAUAUUUCGCCAAAUAAUAGAGAACCCAAACCUGGAAAUCCUAAACUAGGAUUUCUAGUGAAUUGGAGACAUAUUACCAGCCUAGAAGAAUAUGGUUUCCUUGAAGCAAUGGAAUGGAAAGCGAAUGUAAAAAGAUAACAAUUAAGCUUGUGGGUGUGAGUAUUAUGAGUUUUUCAUGAAUGAAUGAUUUCAUUCUUC